rnacentral:lncRNA from 1 species
AAACAUCCAAUGAUACAAUUUUCAAUAGCAAGUUGGGUGAAAGGCUUUGAAUAAAUUAAGGUGUGUUCACUAAUAAAUCAUGUAACUGGUAUACAUGAAGACAAGAUGUUUACAAUCCUUAUUUCAAUCAUAUGUAGCUUAGAACAUCCUUAAUAUAAAGUGUAGAUUGUUCAAAUAUUUGUUCUUUAAUGCUAUAAACUAAUUUAUCACUAUUUUUUUUGUCAAACAAACCCUAAAUUUGCUAUAUAAGACGAAUUAAGGGGGAUGCAAAUUAUACAUGCUACAAAACAGCUCUGAUGAUGAUUAUUAAGUAGCUCUGGUCAUGAUAUUACACAUGGUUGCUUUGAAAUUGAGAUUCUAAUAGUACAACCAAAUAAUAGGAUACAAGUAAUUUGAAUUUUGAAUAAACCCCUUAAAUAAAAAAAAAAUAUUAAAUACUCCCUCUAAACACUAUUAUAAACAAAAAAUCACUUUUUAAUUUCAUUAAAAAAGUAAUGUAUUUAGUCUAUAUUACUGACCAUAUAACUAAUUUUUCAUUGAAUUUAAAAAAUGAUUUUAUUUAUUUAUUUAUUUAUUUAUUUUUAUAAUAAUGACAGAAGAGAUGAUUAAGUAAUGUUCCGCAAAUUUGAGAUUUUCCAUGUAUUUUUUUAUUUAUUUAUGGAUAAUGAUAUGCUCCGCCUCCACCUGGGCCAGUAGUAGGAUAACCGCCAACAUAAGUGUUUUGGAAAAGUUUUCGUCCUGCGCCAUAAUAAUUAAAGUAAGUCAAUAUUGAUUUAAUGAAAAAGAAAAAAAAAAAUCAUGUCCACUACUAUAAAACAUAGAUAGAUGCAUUGUAUGGUUAAUUAAUAUAUUUUGAAUUUGUGUAUGAUUUUUUUUUUUUUGAAAGAAAUUUGUGUAUGAUAUGAUUCUCACAAUUUUAUUUUAAAUAAAAUUAUAUAAACAAAAUAAAAAACAUACCGAGUUUAACGUUGGAUUGGGCAGCAAUAGCCAUAAUAGAUGACAAGAGUAAUAAAAGUAUUGCUAAAAGAGCAACAAGUGACUUCAAUUUGUAGAGAGGUGCCAUGUUUUUCAAACAAAAAUAAAAUCUAUUUAUAUAUUUAGUUAAUAUUAAUUGCAAGUUUAGGA